rnacentral:rRNA from 1 species
UACGGAGGGUGCAAGCGUUAAUCGGAAUUACUGGGCGUAAAGCGCACGCAGGCGGUCUGUCAAGUCGGAUGUGAAAUCCCCCGGGCUCAACCUGGGAACUGCAUUCGAAACUGGCAGGCUAGAGUCUUGUAGAGGGGGGUAGAAUUCCAGGUGUAGCGGUGAAAUGCGUAGAGAUCUGGAGGAAUACCGGUGGCGAAGGCGGCCCCCUGGACAAAGACUGACGCUCAGGUGCGAAAGCGUGGGGAGCAAACAGG